GAUGAACGCUGGCGGCGUGCCUAAUACAUGCAAGUCGAGCGAACAGACGAGGAGCUUGCUCCUCUGACGUUAGCGGCGGACGGGUGAGUAACACGUGGAUAACCUACCUAUAAGACUGGGAUAACUUCGGGAAACCGGAGCUAAUACCGGAUAAUAUAUUGAACCGCAUGGUUCAAUAGUGAAAGACGGUUUUGCUGUCACUUAUAGAUGGAUCCGCGCCGCAUUAGCUAGUUGGUAAGGUAACGGCUUACCAAGGCAACGAUGCGUAGCCGACCUGAGAGGGUGAACGGCCACACUGGGACUGAGACACGGUCCAGACUCCUACGGGAGGCAGCAGUAGGGAAUCUUCCGCAAUGGGCGAAAUCCUGACGGAGCAACGCCGCGUGAGUGAUGAAGGUCUUCGGAUCGUAAAACUCUGUUAUUAGGGAAGAACAAAUGUGUAAGUAACUAUGCACGUCUUGACGGUACCUAAUCAGAAAGCCACGGCUAACUACGUG
rnacentral:rRNA from 1 species